GCAUAUCAAUAAGCGGAGGAAAAGAAACCAACAGGGAUUGCCUCAGUAACGGCGAGUGAAGCGGCAACAGCUCAAAUUUGAAAUCUGGCUCCUUCGGAGUCCGAGUUGUAAUUUGUAGAAGAUGCUUCGGGUGUGGCCCCGGUCUAAGUUCCUUGGAACAGGACGUCACAGAGGGUGAGAAUCCCGUACGUGAUCGGGCGCCUACGCUCAUGUGAAGCUCUUUCGACGAGUCGAGUUGUUUGGGAAUGCAGCUCUAAAUUGGUGGUAAAUUUCAUCUAAAGCUAAAUAUUGGCCAGAGACCGAUAGCGCACAAGGAGACCGAUAGCGAACAAGUAGAGUGAUCGAAAGAUGAAAAGCACUUUGGAAAGAGAGUUAAACAGUACGUGAAAUUGUUGAAAGGGAAGCGCUUGCAACCAGACUUGCGCGUCGUUGAUCAUCUGGUGUUCUCACCGGUGCGCUCAGCGAUGCUCAGGCCAGCAUCAGUUCUGGCGGCUGGAUAAAGGCCCUGGGAAUGUGGCUCCCUCCGGGGAGUGUUAUAGCCCAGGGUGCAAUGCAGCCUGCCGGGACUGAGGACCGCGCUUCGGCUAGGAUGCUGGCGUAAUGGUUGUAAGCGACCCGUCUUGAAACACGGACC
rnacentral:rRNA from 1 species